rnacentral:rRNA from 1 species
CAGUAGCCGCGGUAAUACGGAGGGUGCAAGCGUUAAUCGGAAUUACUGGGCGUAAAGCGCACGCAGGCGGUCUGUCAAGUCAGAUGUGAAAUCCCCGGGCUUAACCUGGGAACUGCAUUUGAAACUGGCAGGCUAGAGUCUUGUAGAGGGGGGUAGAAUUCCAGGUGUAGCGGUGAAAUGCGUAGAGAUCUGGAGGAAUACCGGUGGCGAAGGCGGCCCCCUGGACAAAGACUGACGCUCAGGUGCGAAAGCGUGGGGAGCAAACAGGAUUAGAUACCCCAGUAGUCCCUGUCUCUUACAC